GAUGAACGCUGGCGGCGUGCUUAAUACAUGCAAGUCGAACGAAGCACCUUGGACAGAAUCCUUCGGGAGGAAGACCAUUGUGACUGAGUGGCGGACGGGUGAGUAACGCGUGGGUAACCUGCCUUGUACAGGGGGAUAACAGUUGGAAACGACUGCUAAUACCGCAUAAGCGCACAGUACCGCAUGGUACGGUGUGAAAAACUCCGGUGGUACAAGAUGGACCCGCGUCUGAUUAGCUUGUUGGUGAGGUAACGGCCCACCAAGGCGACGAUCAGUAGCCGACUUGAGAGAGUGAUCGGCCACAUUGGGACUGAGACACGGCCCAAACUCCUACGGGAGGCAGCAGUAGGGAAUAUUGCACAAUGGGGGAAACCCUGAUGCAGCGACGCCGCGUGAAGGAAGAAGUAUUUCGGUAUGUAAACUCUAUCAGCAAGGAGAAAAUGACGGUACUUGACUAAGAAGCCCCGGCUAAAUACGUGCCAGCAGCCGCGGU
rnacentral:rRNA from 1 species